ACUGAAUAGAUACCCGGGUAGUCCACGCCGUAAACGAUGAAUACUCGGUGUUGGUGGAUCGAUCCCACCAGUGCCUUAGCUAAACGCGUUAAGUAUUCCGCCUGGGAAGUACGGUCGCAAGAUUAAAACUCAAAGGAUAGACGGGGCCCCACACAAGCGGUGGAGCAUGUUGUUAAUUCGACACAAACGAGGAACCUUACCAAGGCUUGACAUCCUGAGAAUCCGCUGGAAACAGUGGAGUGCCGCAAGGAACUCAGUGACAGGCGCUGCAUGGUUGUCGUCAGCUGUGCCUUGAGGUGUUCGGUUAGGUCCGCGAACGAGCGCAACCCUUGUCUUAUGUUAUAUCUUUCAUAAGAGACUGCCCGUGUUAAACGGGAGGAAGGUGAGGAUGACGUCAAAUCAGCAUGGCCCUUAUGCC
rnacentral:rRNA from 1 species